rnacentral:rRNA from 1 species
UACGGAAGGGGCAAGCGUUGUUCGGAAUCAUUGGGCGUAAAGGGCGCGUAGGUGGUUCUGUAUGUCUACCGUGAAAGCAUACAGCUCAACUGUAUUUUAUCGGUAGAAACUGCAGGACUUGAGGCUGGGAGGGGCUGGUGGAAUUCCCUGUGUAGCGGUGAAAUGCGUAGAGAUGGGGGAGAACACUCGUGGCGAAGGCGGCCAGCUAGACCAGUUCUGACACUGAGGCGCGACAGCGUGGGGAGCAAACAGG